UUUAAAGUUUAAUGUAAAUAUUGUUUAAUUAUACUUAUAAAAAAAGGUUUAUAUAUAUUAGUAUUUAGUAAAGAAGGAGUUUGUAGUUGGUGUACUGAGAAGGAUAAUGAGAAAUUAUAUUUAUAGUAAGCUUUAAAUUUUGUACCUUUUGCAUAAUGGUUUAAUAAUAUUUAUUGAUAUAUAUUGUUGUCUCGAAAUAUAAGGAUUUAUUUAUUUUAUUUAUUAUAUAGUUAACGUAGUAGAGUUAUUAUAUUAAAGAUAGAUGGUAGUGAAAUGCUAUUCGAUUUAUAUGUUAGCUAGUUUAUUUAUAUAUUCAUUUUAGUGUUAGUUAAAAUUAGUUAUGGUAGUAAUAUUAGUUUUAAUUUAAAUAUUGGGGGAUAAGCUUCAUAUAAGGUGUAAGAGUGAAUUGAUAUUUGAUGAUUAAUUUAAGUUGGAAUAGUAUUUUUUCUUUUAAUUAUAUUUAAUAUUAUUUAUUUUGUUUAUCUUUAUAUUUUAUUAAAUAAAUUACUUUUAAUUAUAAGUUAAGUUAAAUAUAAUGUUAAAAUGAGUAUUAAUAUUUUGUUUAAAUUAUUAUUAAUUAAUAAUAUGUAUAUAUAUUAUAGAUGAAAGGUUUUAGAUUAAUAGUUGUUAGUAUAAAUAAAGUAAAAUAAAGGAAUUUGGCAAGAAUAAAAUUUCGCCUGUUUAACAAAAACAUGUCUCUUUGAGUAAUAUUAAUAGAGAGUUGGGCCUGCUCGGUGAUUUAUAUUUAACAGCUGCGGUAUUAUAACUGUACUAAGGUAGCAUAGUAAUUUGCCUUAUAAAUUAAGGCUAGAAUGAAUGGUUUGACGAAAAUUAAUCUGUCUCUAUUUUAUUUACUAGAAGUUAAUUUUUAUAGUGAAAAAGCUUAAAUGAUUUAAAGGGACGAAAAGACCCUAUUGAGCUUAUAUUAAUAAUUAAUAUAAAUAAAUAAAUAUAUUAAGUGAGUUAAUUUUGGUUGGGGUGAUCAAGGAAUAAAAAGUAGUAUUUAUAAUAACUUCCUUAAUUUUAUAAUUUUUGUUGAGUAAUAAACCAAAUAUUUUUGCUUAUAUGAUAAGUUACCAUAGGGAUAACAGCGUAAUUUUUUUUGAGAGUUCAUAUUGAGAAAAGAGAUUGCGACCUCGAUGUUGGAUUAAAAUAACUUAAGGUGUAGAGGCUUUAUUAGGUAAAUCUGUUCGAUUUUUAAAAUUUUACAUGAUCUGAGUUCAAACCGGUGGGAGCCAGGUUGGUUUUUAUCUUUUAAAUUAGUUUUGAAAUUUAAUUUAGUACGAAAGGAUUAAUUACAAUUAAUUAUAUAAUUAAUUAUAAUAAAUGGGG
rnacentral:rRNA from 1 species